rnacentral:rRNA from 1 species
AUUGAACGCUGGCGGCAGGCCUAACACAUGCAAGUCGAGCGGAGCGGCGGACGGGUGAGUAAUGCCUAGGAAUCUGCCUGGUAGUGGGGGAUAACGUCCGGAAACGGGCGCUAAUACCGCAUACUAUCAGAUGAGCCUAGGUCGGAUUAGCGAGUUGGUGGGGUAAAGGCCUACCAAGGCGACGAUCCGUAACUGGUCGGAGAGGGGGCUAAGUCACAUGGGAACUGAUACACGGUCCAGACGCCGACGGGAGGCAGCAGUGGGGAAUAGUGGACAAUGGGCGAAAGCCUGAUCCAGCCAUGCCGCGUGUGUGAAGGAGGUCUUCGGAUUGUAAAGCAGUUGAAGUUGGGAGGCGUUACCAAAAGAAUAAGCACCGGCUAACUUCGUGCCAGCAGCCGCGGUAAUUC